GAUGGGAGGGACAGACGGCAUCCUCUGAGCAGCCAGCUGGAGAUGAUCUAGAAGGAAAGCAGCUGGCACUAUCCACGGACAAAAGGGACUAAAGGGAGCAAGCCAAGAUCAGUGAUCAUCAUCAGUAAGAAUUCCCACCUGGGGAGAUCGUACCAACCUGGAAAGCUGUCCCAAAACUGGAAAAGCACCAGACCAGAAAUUAAAGAACAGGACGAAAGGACCAGACCAGGAGAUCAAGGGAGGUGACAGCUAUCAUGGAAGGUGAAAGAACUUGCCGAUACCCUGGAAUGCAGUAACUUGGGCCCAUUUACCUAUUCUGUCUUGUCUGUUAUUAUGUGUCUGGCUUAAAUGUGUGUCCAGGCAUUAUAACAAUAAUUCUGUCUGAAAUUGUAGAA